rnacentral:rRNA from 1 species
UACGGAGGGUGCAAGCGUUAUCCGGAUUUAUUGGGUUUAAAGGGUCCGUAGGCGGGCCGAUAAGUCAGUGGUGAAAUCUCGCAGCUUAACUGUGAAACUGCCAUUGAUACUGUUGGUCUUGAGUAAAUUUGAAGUGGCUGGAAUAAGUAGUGUAGCGGUGAAAUGCAUAGAUAUUACUUAGAACACCAAUUGCGAAGGCAGGUCACUAAGAUUUAACUGACGCUGAUGGACGAAAGCGUGGGUAGCGAAC